rnacentral:rRNA from 1 species
GUGGGGAAUCUUCCGCAAUGGACGAAAGUCUGACGGAGCAACGCCGCGUGAGUGAUGAAGGUCUUCGGAUUGUAAAGCUCUGUUAAUCGGGACGAAAGAGCCUAGUGUGAAUAAUGCUAGGAAGUGACGGUACCGGAAUAGAAAGCCACGGCUAACUACGUGCCAGCAGCCGCGGUAAUACGUAGGUGGCAAGCGUUGUCCGGAAUUAUUGGGCGUAAAGCGCGCGCAGGCGGAUCUGCCAGUCUGUCUUAAAAGUUCGGGGCUUAACCCCGUGAUGGGAUGGAAACUACAGAUCUAGAGUAUCGGAGAGGAAAGUGGAAUUCCUAGUGUAGCGGUGAAAUGCGUAGAUAUUAGGAAGAACACCAGUGGCGAAGGCGACUUUCUGGACGAUGUCUGACGCUGAGGCGCGAAAGCUAGGGGAGCGAACGGGAUUAGAUACCCUAGUAGUCC